GACAGAGGCCCCAAGCGUUAGGCGGAAUCACUGGGCUUAAAGCGUGUGUAGGCGGGUCGUUAAGUGUCUUGUGAAAUCCCACGGCUCACCCGUGGAACGGCUGGGCAUACUGGCGAUCUUGGGCCAACUAGGGGCAGUCGGAACAAGCGGUGGAGCGGUGAAAUGCGUAGAUAUCGCUUGGAACGCCGAAGGUGAAAACAGACUGCUGGGGUUGCGCCGACGCUGAGACACGAAAGCCAGGGGAGCAAACGGG
rnacentral:rRNA from 1 species